rnacentral:rRNA from 1 species
AUUGAACGCUGGCGGCAGGCCUAACACAUGCAAGUCGAGCGGAUGAAGAGAGCUUGCUCUCUGAUUUAGCGGCGGACGGGUGAGUAAUGCCUAGGAAUCUGCCUGGUAGUGGGGGAUAACGUCCGGAAACGGGCGCUAAUACCGCAUACGUCCUACGGGAGAAAGCAGGGGACCUUCGGGCCUUGAGCUAUGAGGUGAGCCUAGGUCGGAUUAGUUAGUUGGUGAGGUAAUGGCACACCAAGGCUACGAUCCGUAACUGGUCUGAGAGGAUGUUCAGUCACACUGGAACUGAGACACGGUCCAGACUCCUACGGGAGGCAGCAGUGGGGAAUAUUGGACAAUGGGCGAAAGCCUGAUCCAGCCAUGCCGCGUGUGUGAAGAAGGUCUUCGGAUUGUAAAGCACUUUAAGUUGGGAGGAAGGGCAGUAAGUUAAUACCUUGCUGUUUUGACGUUACCGACAGAAUAAGCACCGGCUAACUUCGUGCCAGCCGCCGCAGUAAUAC